AACGUGGAUUUAAUCGUGUUUGUUCAUUUUACAAAUUUAUACUUAUUGCAGGUGCUGGGAAAUCUUUGGCCACGAAAUAAAUAUGACGAGUGAGUUUAUUAAGAAAUCGCUUGCAGUGUCCAAGCGGAAUGAGUAUGGGAUCCGUGACUUACUUUUAUACUACGUAAAACGUGAGCUGUCAGAUGAAGAAAAAAGAAGGAUGAACAUCUCACAUCGGUGCUACAAGACUUUGAACAGCGGCUUAGAUUUACACGAGUACCAACAUACAGAUAUUGUUCAGUGUGGAUUGCAGGAACAUAGAAAUAGUCACGUUUACAAGAAAGCAUUGAAGAUAGCUAAGGAACGGACUAAUUUAGUAUUUAAAAUCGCUGACUUGUUCCGUAGGUACGUUUGAUAUUAAAAUUUUUGCUCUAA